GACGAACCGUGCAAACGUUAUUCGGAAUCACUGGGCAUAAAGGGCGCGUAGGCGGCUUGACAAGUCAGGGGUGAAAUCCGGCAGCUUAACUGUCGCAGUGCCUUUGAUACUGUCGAGCUCGAGGGAGGUAGGGGUCUGUGGAACUUCCGGUGGAGCGGUGGAAUGCGUUGAUAUCGGAAGGAACGCCGGUGGCGAAAGCGACGGACUGGAUCUCUUCUGACGCUGAGGCGCGAAAGCCAGGGGAGCAAACGGG
rnacentral:rRNA from 1 species